GAGUGUAAAUCCAAAAAGCUUCUCUUUUCAGAAGCAAAUUAUUAACAUCUCCACCACGAUUGUUAAGUUGUACAUGCUCUAUACCCAAGUAUCUGAGUGAACUCACAUUAUGAUUUUUCACAGAAAAAUGCACAGCCACAGGACUUUUGUU